rnacentral:rRNA from 1 species
UGUUGCACCAGAAGCAGGUAGCUUAACCUUCGGGAGGGCGCUUGCCACGGUGUGGCCGAUGACUGGGGUGAAGUCGUAACAAGGUAGCCGUAUCGGAAGGUGCGGCUGGAUCACCUCCUUUUGAGC